rnacentral:tRNA from 4 species
CCCGUGAUAGCUCAGUUGGUAGAGCGGAGGACUGUAGUGGAAUGGAAACUAGACAUCCUUAGGUCGGUGGUUCAAAUCCGCCUCGCGGGA